GACAAAAUGGCGGACUGCGAAGAAGAUUCAAAUAGUCUGGUAUUAGAUUUUACAGCAAAAGGAUUAAAAAUAGUUGAAAUACCAAAUAAUGUACAACCUACUGGUUUAAUAUGUGAUAGGAAUGAUAUAGCAAAAAUAGAAAAUUUAGAUAAUCAUCCAUGUCUAAAACAGGUAUCUUUAGCAUGUAAUCACAUUGUUCGUAUGAAUGGUAUAUCAGUGCUGAAACAUUUAAAUGUUUUGAAUUUAGCCACUAAUAGUAUUGUAAACAUUGAAGGCUUAGAAGAAUUACCAGAGUUAUCCUGGUUAGAUUUAUCUGGGAAUAGUAUCAAGAAUUUUUCUCCACUAUGUAAAAAUACUCAACUUCAUCAUGUUGAUCUGUCCGAUAACAGUAUAGCUUGUAUAACAGAUUUAUCUCCCUUGACACAUCUACAGACUCUGUUAUUGCAUGGCAAUACGAUCAGUUCUUUAAAAACAGUACCAAGUUUUUUACCUAGACAACUUAGUGUUCUUUCAUUAGAAUCCAAUGAAAUUCAAGAUUUAAAUGAGAUUUCUUACCUGUCUUGUUUAGAAAAUUUAGAUCAGCUGUCAAUAGCCAGAAAUCCAUGUGUUAUUCUAACAUCAUUAU